GACGAACGCUGGCGGCGUGCCUAAUACAUGCAAGUCGGACGCGGUUGCGAGCGGAUGAGUAACGCGUAGGUCACUGCCUGUUAGAGGGUGCUAACUAUUGGAAACGAUAGCUCAUACCGCCUACUUGUAGAUGGACCUGCGUUGUAUUAGCUAGUUGGUUGGGUAAUGGCCUACCUAGGCGACGUUACAUAGCCGGCUUGAGGGGGUGAACCGCCAAAACGGGGAUGAGAAAAGGCCCAGACCUCUACGGGAGGCAGCAAGAGGGGAACUUUGGACAAGGGGGGAACCCCUACUGAGCAAAGCCGGGUUAGUUAAGAAGGGUUUCGGAGCGGAAAGCUCCGUUGUGCAGGAAGCGGUACUUACCGAGAAAGGGACGGCUAACUACGUGCCAGCAGCCGCGGUAAUAC
rnacentral:rRNA from 1 species